rnacentral:rRNA from 1 species
CCUACGGGCGGCAGCAGUGAGGAAUAUUGGUCAAUGGGCGAGAGCCUGAACCAGCCAAGUCGCGUGAAGGAUGACGGCCCUACGGGUUGUAAACUUCUUUUGUCAGGGAGCAAUUGGGUCCACGCGUGGGCUUAGCGAGAGUACCUGAAGAAAAAGCAUCGGCUAACUCCGUGCCAGCAGCCGCGGUAAUACGGAGGAUGCGAGCGUUAUCCGGAUUUAUUGGGUUUAAAGGGUGCGUAGGCGGAAUAUCAAGUCAGCGGUAAAAAUUCGGGGCUCAACCCCGUCGUGCCGUUGAAACUGGUUUUCUAGAGUUGGAGAGAAGUAUGCGGAAUUCGUGGUGUAGCGGUGAAAUGCAUAGAUAUCACGAAGAACUCCGAUUGCGAAGGCAGCAUACCGGCUCCAUACUGACGCUGAGGCACGAAAGCGUGGGGAUCGAACAGGAUUAGAUACCCGUGUAGUC